UAGAUGAUCAAUGUACGUAGGUUGUUAAUUGGAAAAGCCUUUGAGAAUAUUGCUCAUGCUCGAUUUCAGUGUGAUCAUGCCCGCCCGGGCCGCUUGGUUUGAGAGCAGUAUUAGUUUCUCAGUUGACUCUGUAGAGGCUUUCGGUUUCGAGUCUUUUAAAGAUUGGUGGGCUUGGUGGCUAGACAAAGUGCUUUCCUUAACUGAUCCAGAAGAUGAAUAAUGGAAGUGAAGAAAGCUUACCCUCCAUGAGCAACCAGCUGUUCCAGUUCUAAACAAUUGAAAGGAGAUGAUUUUUUGAAAUGCUGGGAGCUGCUCUGGUUUUAAAGCUCUAACUGAUGGCAGUUUCGUCUCUUCUGGGAGCAGUGAUUUUGGUUUUUGGCUUGCAAAUCCUUCUGGAUACUUUGUUUCUGCAAAUUGUGGUCCCUGUAAAGUGGUUUCUGCUUUCUUUGCUGAAGUUUCAGCGGUUUAUGAAUGCUGCUUGGCUGCUAAAAGGCUUGGUUUACAGGAACUUAAUUUGUAAUUUUUUUGUGACUCGAUUAAUGUGGUUGAAGUGCUCUCCUAGAAAUCCUUUUAUUGUGAACCUGAAGCCUGGCAAUAUUUAUAUACUUUUUCAGAUGUGAA